GCCGGUCGAUCUAUGCCUGAGCAGGAUGAAGCCUCUCGAAGGGGAGGUGGAGGUCCGAACCAGUUCUGAUGUGCAAAUCGUUUGGAUGACUUGGGUAUAGGGGUGAAAGGCCAAUCUAGGCCGGAAAUAGCUGGUUCCCCCCGAAACUAGUCGCAGCUAGACCUCGAUCGAGGUGGAAUGUGAGGUAGAGCACCGAUUGGGUGCUUAGGGGAAGAAAUUCCUCGGCAUCUUGUCAAACUCCGAACUUGCGUUCAUCGUAGACGUCGGGUGUGAGGCCAUCCGGGGUAAGCUUGGUGGCCAUAAGGGAAACAACCCAGACUAUAGUUAAGGUCCCUAAAUUUCGGUCAAGUGUAAUACGAAAUGGUGUCGGCGGUCUAAAACAACCGGGAGGUGGGCUUAGAAGCAGCCAUCCUUCAAAGAUAGCGUAACAGCUCACCGGUCUAGAUCGUGGGCCCAGAAAAUGGACGGGGCUAAACCGAGUACCGAUACUAUAGGAUACUGCAAAGUAAUUCGGUAGGGGGGCGUGGUGCAUGGGCAGAAGCAGGGCUGUGAAGUCCUGUGGACCGUGUACCAACGAGGAUCCUGGAGAGAGUAGCAGCAAAGCACGGUGAGAAUCCGUGUCGCCGCAGGGGCAAGGGUUCCUUGGCAAUGUUCGUCAGCCAAGGGUUAGUCGAUCCUAAGGUAACUCUUAAUCGAAGUUAUCGAAUGGGAAACAGGUUAAUAUUCCUGUACCAGCAAGAUCUUUGCCUAUGUAGUUAGUUCGGGAUAGUUGAUGUACGCCAGUCAGCGUAUCUAAGCGCCGAAUCCGAUGAAGAACCGUAAUGGUGAGAAGUUGGAGAAUGCGUUAUGGGGCGAGCGUAAGCUCGCUUUCGAUAAUUCCUGGAUUCCGUGAAACCUGCAUAGUUACAAUCUUGUUGUUCGUACCAAGAACCGACACAGGUGUCCCUAGGUGAGUAGCCUAAGGCGUGUUAGCAUAAUCGUGGCGAGGGAACUCGGCAAAUUAGCCCUGUAACUUCGGGAGAAGGGGUGCCAGCAGUGAGAGCUGCUGGUCGCAGUGACAAGAGAACACCGACUGUUUAAUAAAAACAUAGGUCUCUGCUAGUUCGAAAGGAUGUGUAUAGAGGCCGAAGCCUGCCCAGUGUCGGCAUCUGAAAAUCUGUUACAACGGAUCGAAGGACCGAUAAACGGCGGGGGUAACUAUGACCCUCUUAAGGUAGCGUAAUACCUUGUCGCUUAAUUGGCGACUUGCAUGAAGGCUCAACGAGUGUUCUACUGUCCCCGCCAUGACGCUAGUGAAAUCAAUCAGUCUGGUGCACAAUCCAGACCCCUCCAUCUGAAAGCGAAGACCCCAUGGAGUUUCACUGCAACCUGUUGUUGUUGUAAGAAUUGGCAUGUGUAGGGUAGGCGGGAGACGUUACCCAGGAAGGUGCGCUAGCAUCUCUCCGAGUCACCGAUGAAACACCGCCCUUGCAAGUUUUUACGACUCACCUCUCCGGAGGAACAGCUAUAGGCAGGCAGUUCGGGUGGGGCGCCACGCCCUCAAAAAGAUAACAAGGGUGCCCAAAGGUUGGCUCAGGUAGGUCAGAAAUCUACCGAAGAAUGUAAGGGUAUAAGCCAGCUUGACUCGGAACCAGACAAUAGGGUUCGGAGAUAGGAAACUAAGGCCUAACGAACCAAUCAACCUCCUGAAUGGGGGUGAUUGAUGUCAGAAAAAUUACCCUGGGGAUAAUUGAGUUGUCACGAGCAAGAGUUCACAUCGACCUCGUGGCUUGCUACUUCGCUGUCGGCUCUCCCUAUCCUGGUGGUGCAGCAGCUGCCAAGGGUGGGGUUGUUCGCCCAUUAAAAGGGAUCGUGAGCUGGGUUUAAAACGUCGCGAGACAGUUUUGUUGCUUUUUGAUGGAGGUGUUGGUACCUGAUGAGAAGGACCCUUUAGUACGAGAGGAACAGGGGUUCGUCGCCUCUAGUUUAUCAGUUGUCUGACAAGGCAAGCUGAGUAGCCACGCGGUAGUGGAUAAGAGCUGAAGGCAUCUAAGCUCGAAGCCAUCUUAAAAAAGAGGUACCCAUAGAACGCUCAUAAAUGAUGAGUUCGAUAGAAGCCGGAUGUAAGUAUCGAGGUUCGCCGAGAUAUUCAGUCCUGGCUAACUAAUGUUCUUUGACGUCGCUGGG
rnacentral:rRNA from 1 species